rnacentral:rRNA from 1 species
CCUACGGGAGGCAGCAGUGAGGAAUAUUGGUCAAUGGACGCAAGUCUGAACCAGCCAUGCCGCGUGCAGGAAGACGGCUCUAUGAGUUGUAAACUGCUUUUGUACGAGGGUAAACGCAGAUACGCGUAUCUUUCUGAACGUAUCGUACGAAUAAGGAUCGGCUAACUCCGUGCCAGCAGCCGCGGUAAUACGGAGGAUUCAAGCGUUGUCCGGAUUUAUUGGGUUUAAAGGGUGCGUAGGCGGUCGGAUAAGUUAGAGGUGAAAUCCCGGGGCUCAACUUCGGAAUUGCCUCUGAUACUGUUAGGCUAGAGUGUGGUUGAGGUAGGCGGAAUGUAUGGUGUAGCGGUGAAAUGCUUAGAGAUCAUACAGAACACCAAUUGCGAAGGCAGCUUACCAAGCUACGUCUGACGUUGAGGCACGAAAGCGUGGGGAGCAAACAGGAUUAGAUACCCGAGUAGUC